rnacentral:lncRNA from 1 species
CCCCUUCAAGCUCUCCCAGUUCUUUCUCUGAUUCCUUCAACGGGGGUUCUAUUCUCAGUUCAGUGGUUUGCUGCUGGUAUUCGCCUCUGUAUUUGCUGUAUUCUGGCUGUGUCUCUCAGGAGCGAUCUACAUCCGGCUCCUGUCGGUCUGCACUUCUUUGCUUCAUCCAUCUUGUCUAAUUGGGUGGCUGUAUAUGUAUGGGCCACAUGUGGGGCAGGCUUUGAAUGGGUGUUCCUUCAGUCUCUGUUUUAAUCUUUGCCUCUCUCUUCCCUGCCAAGGGUAUUCUUGUUCCCCUUUUAAAGAAGGAGUGAAGCAUUCACGUUUUGAUCAUCCGUCUUGAGUUUCAUUUGUUCUAGGCAUCUAGGGUAAUUCAAUCAUUUGGGCUAAUAGCCACUUAUCAAUGAGUGCAUACCAUGUAUGUCUUUCUGUGAUUGGGUUAGCUCACUCAGGAUGAUGUUUUCCAGUUCCAACCAUUUGCCUACGAAUUU